GCCUGGGUGGCUCAGUGUGUUGAGCAUCCGACUUUGGCUCAGGUCAUGAUUUCGUGGUUUGUGGGUUCGAGCCCAUGUCAGGCU
rnacentral:tRNA from 1 species